AUUGAACGCUGGCGGCAGGCCUAACACAUGCAAGUCGAGCGGAUGAAGGGAGCUUGCUCCUGGAUUCAGCGGCGGACGGGUGAGUAAUGCCUAGGAAUCUGCCUGGUAGUGGGGGAUAACGUCCGGAAACGGGCGCUAAUACCGCAUACGUCCUGAGGGAGAAAGUGGGGGAUCUUCGGACCUCACGCUAUCAGAUGGGCCUAGGUCGGAUUAGCUAGUUGGUGGGGUAAAGGCCUACCAAGGCGACGAUCCGUAACUGGUCUGAGAGGAUGAUCAGUCACAAUGGAACUGAGACACGGUCCACACUCCUACGGGAGGCAGCAGUGGGGAAUAUUGGACAAUGGGCGAAAGCCUGAUCCAGCCAUGCCGCGUGUGUGAAGAAGGUCUUCGGAUUGUAAAGCACUUUAAGUUGGGAGGAAGGGCAGUAAGUUAAUACCUUGCUGUUUUGACGUUACCAACAGAAUAAGCACCGGCUAACUUCGUG
rnacentral:rRNA from 1 species